GUAUCACCCAAGACAACUUUACGGAGUUGACGAUUGACGGAGCGAAGCGACGUCAAAGCGUAUACAAAGUCGAGUUGGCUUAGGGAUACGUUCGUUGGGUAGGGGAGCGUUCUGUAAGCCUGUGAAGGUGGCCUGUGAGGGUUGCUGGAGGUAUCAGAAGUGCGAAUGCUGACAUAAGUAACGAUAAAGCGGGUGAAAAGCCCGCUCGCCGGAAGACCAAGGGUUCCUGUCCAACGUUAAUCGGGGCAGGGUGAGUCGACCCCUAAGGCGAGGCCGAAAGGCGUAGUCGAUGGGAAACGGGUUAAUAUUCCCGUACUUGGUGUUACUGCGAAGGGGGGACGGAGAAGGCUAUGUUGGCCGGGCGACGGUUGUCCCGGUUUAAGCGUGUA
rnacentral:rRNA from 1 species